rnacentral:rRNA from 1 species
CGGUGAAUACGUUCCCGGACCUUGCACACACCGCCCGUCAAGCCAUGGAAGCCGGGUGUACCUAAAGUCGGUAACCGCAGGAGCCGCCUAGGGUAAAACUGGUGACUGGGGCU